AAUGGCACACUGCAGGAACUGGGUUUGAAAGCGGAAGUACACCACAUGUUCCACACCCUAGGGAUGCUGGAAUUUAUGCAGCUGGAAGCGCCUACAUUUGCGCGCAUCACGCUGGAAUUUCUGAGCACCAUAGAUUUUAAGCUGAAGAACAGGUGGAACGGCUCAAAAAAAGAAUAUUACAGUACGUUACACUUUUGUCUAUUCAAUACUGAUUUGGAACCGACUGUGGAUGAGUUAGGGAGGAUCUUAAAACUCCCAAUCGUAGGCCUUGGAGCGGUACCCGAUACAUUUGUCCCGGCGGAAUUUUGGACCGCCAUCACUGGUAAUAUGAAAUAUGUGUCCAAAGGGGCAAAGGCAUCGGGUAUCCAUAACCCAUGUUUCAGGUAUGCACAAAAGGCUUUGGCCUAUACAAUUUUUGGUCGCGGAGAUAACACAGGUGUAGCCACACAAAGGGAGUUGUUCUUCCUAUACAGCAUGGCGUCCGAAGCUCCGAUCAAUGUAGCGGCCUUUGCAACCGACUAUUUAGGGAGAGUUGGUCGCGCUACGUCGGGCGACAUUUCUGUUGGCGGCAUGAUUACUCAGAUUGCCGACCACUUUGGAUUUGGUGUUGCUCUAGUUGAUUCCCCCCAGGUGCCAGGUAAAAGCAAACUGGACAUGGCAGCCUUGAUCCAGCAAGGCAUGAUCACGGUAAAGCAAGACUACUACUCUCUUUUGUGCCAAAAAGUACAUGUUCUUGAUUUACCUGCUUACGAGUUUAUCAGUAUCACUAACAGAGCCAACUGGCUCUAUGACUGUCCCAAACCAGAAGAGGGGGAUGAAGAUUUGUUUGACUCUUUUCUUGCAGAUGAACCGAUGGAUGGUGCACCGAGCACCGAGGAACCUUUUUUCCAACAACCGUCGGAACCAACUCAAGCAUCCGGAUCCUACUCCAUGCCAUCAGACCAAUAGGGAUGGAUCCAGGAUCAGAUUGGCCACCUUCGCACGGAGCAAUCCAGGCAAGGUGAAAAGCUCACCAGGUUCGGAGUUGAGCAACGCCGUCAAGGGACAGUUUUGGACGAGAUGAACGCGAUGAUGCAACGUAUGAUGUUGCAUUAUCCAUACCCGCCACCACCUCCUCAGUAAUUGUUGUAAGUGCUCCUCAUAUCUUAACUUUAAACAUUGCGGACAAUGUUUGGUUCAGGUGUGGGGAGGUUUUUCAUUGAAUUGUUUUAAAUUUUAAUUUUUAUUAUGUCUGUAUGUUAUUUUGUUCGUCGUUGUGUGGUUGUUUUUAUUUUGGUAAGUUACCGAUGAAAGUAGAUGAUGCUGGAGACAUGAGAGACUAGUGGACAGUGAGUAAAAGACGCGAUCCCGAACUUUCUCCCGAGGCAACAUGGAAGGUGACACAGUUGAGAAACAAGAGGUUGGACGCAACUUGAAAAUCCAGACCGAAAAAGAAGAAGGCAAGCCCAAGCUGACAAAGAAGCUGUCUAUCAUAAAGAAUGUUUGAAGUCUGCAAGCUUACCCAACAUGGUGAGAUUUUAGCUUAACCAAACACGAAAAAAGAGCACAUUCAGGUAUGACUCUAUCUCUCUAAUUUUGUGUAAGUUCUACUGAUACAGCACUAUACAAAAACGCACAUUGAGGCACGUUGUUUGUUUUCAACCUUUGAGCCUUUCUAGCCACCCAUAAUGUUGUUUUCAUCUGUUGUUAACCCCUUUGAGCCUGUAACCCUUUGUUUGUGUAAACCAUCAUGUAACCCUUAGCCAUACACUUCCUACCCUAGCUCGGCAUGACUGUGUAAUGUAAAACUUAUGCAAAAAGAUAAGUUUGAGGUAUUCAUCCGUAGAAUAAAAAUGUUGUUGAAAAAUGGCAAGUGCAAGGAAAAGAAAGAUGAGAAAAAGAAAAAGUGUGUAGAAACACCCGCUUCUACCGGGAAAAAAAAGAAAAAGAAAUGAAAAAAAUAAGCACUUGCUUUAGAAAUAUACUCAUGCAUUAAUAUGAAUUUGAGUGGAAAAAGAGUCAAGAUUGGACGACGCCCCAACAAAAUAAAAUUCUUGCACCAAGAAAAACAACAACAUGAAUGCCGAGUUGUAAAACCUUUUAUAAUCCAUUUUGUUGACUACUCUCCCACCGUACCUAAGCCCCGUUACAACCCUGAAGACCUCCUAAAGUGUGUAAAUUGUGUUUGUGUAGUUGACGUAGAAUCUAUUCAAAAAGUAAGAGUUGAUAUUGCAUACCUUGAUUUAUUGAGUGCUAAACACCUUAACCUCGAGAGAUUUGGUGAGUAGUGUGAAGAAGCUUGCAGGUGAAAGAACUCUUUAAACACCUUAACCUCGAGAGAUUUGGUGAGUAGUGUGAAGAAGCUUGCAGGUGAAAGAACUCUCUGAAAUGAUAAGGCUGUGAAAAAUGUCGAAUGGGUGAACCAGAAACUUAUUCGGGAAGGAUAAAACCAAGUUGCGAAUAACAUCAGCUGUGUUGAGGAAAGAAUAAAAUCCAUGGUUGACCUCCGCUUUGUCUCUUUCAUCACUUAAGGACAAGCAAUGAGAUAAGUUUGAGGUUGUGAUCGGCCACCAUUUACACUCAGUUUUCAUCAUCUAUCCAGCACGAAAUCGUCAUGAAUCGGUAACUUUUGCGUUUUAUUUUUGUAAUUUCUUUGGUUUAUUGCAUUUUUGGAAUUCCUAUUUGUUUUAUGUUACAUUAGUAGUUUUUCGCCUUUUGUCGCAUUUUAUGCGUUUCUAUGUAGACUGUUGGUUUCCAGGUUAGAUUAAAAGUCCGAAAGUGUGUACCGGAAGAAGGGAGGUCAGAGACGUAAGGAAAAGCGAAAAACAGACAAAACAGGGGGCUGACACGGUCGCCCGUGUCAGCUGACACGGCCCGUGUCAGCAUGUGCAGAACAAGCUAUCAUAAACCAAGUAAAACAGUGGGCUGACACGGGUGCCCGUGUCACCUGACACGGCCCGUGUCAGCAGGGAGUAUCUUGUGCACCUACAGAGGAGCCAACACGGGCAGCAGUGUCACCUGACACGGCCCGUGUUGGCCAUUUCGCUCAAAAUUCUGAUUUUUCUAAUUUUUACUCCUGUGGACAUCCGAAGGGCAUUUUGGGCAUUUGGCAUUAUUUUUAGUUGUUUGGAACCUAUUUAGUCGGAUGGGAAGCACUGAAAAAAGGAUUUUUUGAUCGUGAAAAGAAAAGAUACGAAAAGGGGAAGCAACCUUGCAAGGUGUGGAGAAGAGAAGAGAUCUUCAAGAUCGGAAGAAAUUGAAGAUCAACUUUCAUCAACAACAACUUGUAAUGUCUUUAAUUUGUAAUCUUUUAUCUUUGAAUAUUAUGACGAGGCUAAACCCCCCAAUAGAUAGGGGGUAGUCCAAUGAUGCUACUGUAAAGAUAUGCUCAUACUAUAUACGCACCUUAAAUCAUUGAUGUUUCGUAAUUGAAAUAUUACGGUUCGAAGAUUAGUCGAGCAUCAGUAACCACAGUACUUAUCGUUCGGCCUGGGUGGAACAGGUAUUUGGAGAGGGAGACACAAGUCACCGGCCAUUGGAUGUCAGGUACCAUCUUCACACACAGAACCCGCCGUUUAAUCACUUAGGAAUGAGGACCAUAAACUGGGUUACUUGUAAAUUCUUGGAUAAAUAAGUAAUUCUAACAACAAUUUGCAACGACUAAGGAAUUAGGAGUGAAAUUGCCUGUUAAAUGGUUUUGGCUAAGGAAUUAGAGAAAACUACUCUGGAGAAACUGUUUUGAAUUAUAAUAACAUCAAUGUUAUAUGAUAUGGAAAAGAGUGGAAUACACAGCAAGUCAUACACCUGGCCCUAGCAUUAUUUCUCAUAUUGGUCAAACUGUUUUUAUACGCUUUAUAUUUUUAUUUCUUAUCAGUUUUGAAAACAAUCAUCAAACCCCAUAUGAACUUUUGCUCAAUUGAAUUAUUCUAAAAAUUGAUACUUUCUACGCACUCCUUGAGAUCGAUACUCGGGAUAAGUCCCUUUUUAUUACUACAUUGGUGCAAAUAGUACACUUGCUAUUUUACCGAUCAACUAUCCUAGAGCAUAAAGUAAAAUCUAGGGAGAAAAGAUCUAACCAAGAAAUAUCAAUCUUUAUGACAUAAGCCAAGUAAGAAUUACCUCCUUUGGAUUAAGCCUCAAGCAAGCCAGAAUAAGCAAAUAAUAAUCCAUGUAUCAGAUGAAACUAAAGUAACUCAACCACAAAUUCAAAAGGAAAUCCCCAAUCAAAGGAACCAGAUGAAUUCUAGGGUCUUAAAUCAAAAGUCCUAAAGCAAAUGUCAAGAUUUUAAUUCUAAGUCUAUAACUCCACAAUGAUGCCAAGGAUAGUGACCGCAAGUCCAUGAAUCAGGAUAACCAAGUAUCUUUUUUAGGUUUCUUCUUUAUUAAUGUAUUCUUUACAGUGAUAUAAAAGAAAAGUCCAAACGUACAAAGAAUAAAUUAAAAAGAUCACAAAAUAUAUGAUAUGGAAUGCUAAAUAUAAAGUAUAAAGUAAAUGGCAUAAAAUAAAGGAGCAUAAAAUAAAUGACUUGGAAAUAAAAGUUAAUACAAGCAAAGUGUUAAUAAAAGAUGUUAGUAAUCAAAUAUGAAAUAUGGUUUAGUCACUUUUUGGAGAACACUCAAUUAUCCACUCACAAGCAUGAAAAUAUGAACCUAUACAUAAAAUCAACAAGUAUGGUACUAGCUCUCACAAAAUGGAAAAUGAGAAAAAAAUUCAUACAAUACCAUGAGGAAUGGGAGACUUACAAAAAUGCAUUUGUUUUCCUUGGGACAAAUUUCGCGCUAUGUCAAGCAAUCGUAAUUGGGCUUAUGUAGAAGUCACAACUAUCUGAGGCUGGUCAAUAAUAAUGUUUAUUUUAAUACAUGCUAGAGAAAUGAUAUGUAAAUCAUUUCUCCUAAAGACAUGCCACACAAAAAAGAAAGAAAGGGGAUGAUCAAGUAUAAAAGCUAGGAGGAUGGUCCAUUACUUCAAUCCAAACUUCAUGAAACUUAAGACAAAUUUAUUCAUCAAUCUAAAGUACCUUAAAUGAUCCAUGACCAAUUAGGAGGUAGAUUUGAAAUGAUGAAAGUUCAUCAAGUACCAAUCCAUACAUCAUGAACAAGAUGGACACAAGUCAUCCAAUUGAUCAAAGGGAAAAUAAAGAGAUGAAGAAGAGAGACACAAGAGAAGUCACAUCCAAAUUGGACCAAAAGUUUGAUCAAGUCAUCAUCAAAAUCAAUCAUCCAUUUUAGUGGAAUAGGGUUUUCACCCCAUCAACACCCAAGAUCCAUUGAGUUUGAUGAGACUUAAAGUCCAAACCAUGAUUAUCCAAGGCCAACAAAAUUUCACAAGGGUCAUACAAAAUAAAAUGCAAUUAAAUGAAAUAAAAAUGCAUCAAAGGUAUUUUUAAAAGAACUUUAAAAUAGAAAUAAAAUGUAAAAUCCAUAAAGUCCUUCAAAACACCAAAUAAAUGGCCAAGAAAAUUAUGGAAGGUUGGGAAUAAAAAAAGAAGCAUAUAAUAUUUUUUCCGGAAUUUUAAAAUGCAUACAAGUAUUUUUAAACCAAUUAAAAUAAAUGAGAAAAGAGGAAAGUGAUGAAAAAUAGAAAAUCAGUGAAAUAAAAUAUGGAAAAAUAAAAAUCAGGUGAAGAAAAAUAAAAGAGAAUUUUAGAAAUUAUUUUGUGAUUUUUUGGAUAAAAAAUGAAAUUACUAUGAAUUUUUAAAUAAAAAGCAAUUAAAAUUAAUAAAAGAAAAAUAAUUAAAGUCAGAAAAAACAUGGAGCGUUGGAUCACGCCUCAUUAAUUGACGUGGCAGAUCUAACACUCCACAUGUUAGAGAACACAAUGGAACACGCUGCAAGUCAAACACACGAUCUAUUUUAAUCCAACCAAUCAGAAUAUUCCAUUCCUCCAACGUGUCUAAUCAAACUCAGACAACCUGAGAAAACUCUGGCCGUCUUCUCCGGUGAUCUCUCACCGGAGUUUUAUUGUUUGGAAAAUUCAAGACACGAGACCACCAUCAAUGUGAUCCUCUUCUCAUCCCGAAUUCAACCUCAUGCUCCAAAUUCAUUUAUAUAAACUGAGCAAGGGGAAUUUAAGAGAAGUUUCAGAAACAAGCAAGCCACGAAAACUAAAAUUAAAUGAUGAGCACGAUCAAUCAACACCAGAUAAGUUAGGGGAAAGCAUUAGAGAGUGAAGGACUACAUUGGCGUAACUUGUUUGAGUUUAAAUGAUGCUCAAAAUACCUUGUUCAGAUGGUCAUCAAAAGUUAAUGAAGCUCAAUCUUGUUAGAGCACUUCAGAAGGUCCCAGAGCUUGGGAAUUGUUGAAAACAUUUCAGAGGAUGCCGAAGGUGCUAAUGGAAUCAAGAAAUUAUAUUGAAACAAACUGAAACUCAAAAUACGAUAGUUUAAUUUUCUGGAAAAAAAUUCAAGUUGCGGCAGGGAUUUCUUGGCUCUCAAAAGCUUGGAAAUCAAUGCAAUAACUUCCUCUAUUUAUAGGGAAUGUUUUUGUAUCCAAAUACGUGCGGAAUGAUGUUGAUUUCAUGCAAAACAAAUUUGAUUUGAAUGUGUGAGAAGUGUGACUUGAAACUCCUCAAAACUCAGGCAAAUGAUGCAUUUUAAAGGGUCAAUUAACUUUUGGAGACUUGUUUAAACAUGUUUAGGUCCAAAACGCAUGCUAAUUUGGCUUGGAAUUGAGAUUAGUGAAGUUCAAAAUUUGGGCAAUGGCAAUUUCUUCAGUUACAAGUCACCAUGUUCAACCCAAUCGGGCACCCUACUCAGGAAGCUUUUUGACCUCAUUCUUUUUGUGAUGUGUUAACAACAUGGCCAAGAUUAAAACGUGCCAAGAAAUGUUGCAUUUGGAUGCUUGAGCACAAAUUUAUGUCCUUUUGAAUUUGGCAUGAAAAAUUGAUCAUAUAACUUGGAAAAUUUUGAGUGCUUUAUGUAAUAACCCAAUUUUAGUAAUUAUUUCUUAUAUUAUUAUUAUUAUAUUUUAUUUUAUUUAUUUGGAGUGUUAAUUAAUUAAUUGAUUGUUAGGUAGUAAUAAUUGAUUAUAUUAAUUAAUUUGGUGUGUUAAUUAAUUAUUUAGUUGAUAUGAGAUAUAAUUGAAUUAAUUAACUUGGUAGGCAUAUUGUGUUAGCUUAAUUUAAUUGAACUAAUUAGAGAUAUUUAAUAUUAGGUCUUAUUGGGCCUAUUAAUUAAAUUAGAAGUAUCACUCUUUAAGCCCAAAUGUAAUACUAGUAUAUAAGAGGUGAGGAGAGUGAGAAUUAGGAUUCAUUUGAUCAUUUGACAACAAUAGAGAAAGAGAAGAGGAAAAGUAAGGAGAAGAGGGGAAGUAGGAGAGUGAGAAUUAGGAUUCAUUUGAUCAUUUGACAACAAUAGAGAAAGAGAAGAGGAAAAGUAAGGAGAAGAGGGGAAGAACAAGAGAGGAGCUAGGGUUUCCAGAAAAUUGAAGAGGUAAGGGUGGAAUCCUUAUUAUUAUGGGUUAGUAUGAUUGGGUCAAUGGGUAGAAGUAUGUUUAGGUCAAACCCCUAAUUUUGUAUGGUUGUUUGAAAUUGUUAGGUUUUGAUGAGUAUUCUUGAUUUGUGGUGAUUUGGUUGUGUUAAAACUGAAAAUUAAUGUUAUAUACUUAGAGUAUUGUAUGAUUUAUAAUUUUCUGAACGUUUGACUUUUUACGGAAUUGAAAUCGGAGGUCCGAAAGUCCUCCAACAUGAAAAACGCUGAAAAUUCUGCAUUCUGUUUUGUGUUAACGCAGGAAUACCAUUCUGUUUUUGCGUUAACCGGUUAACCAAAGGCGUUAACCGGUUAACAUUGUUGAAAACCUGUUAGAAAUUGCAUACCGGUUAACCAAAUGCGUUAACCGGUUAACACUGUUGAAAAUCUGUUAGGGAGUGUGUUUUGGUUCGCGUUAACCGGUUACCCAAAUGCGUUAACCGAUUAACCUUGUUGAAAAAUGACAAAUUGAGGAUUUUAAAUGUUGUAAUCAUUUUGAAAUGAAAUCUAAUUGUGCGUAUUUGAUAAUUAGUUUAUAUAUGGUGAUAUGUGGAAUGUUAAGAUAGUAGAGAUGAUCUUAAUUGCAUAUUAUGUGAAUGAUAUAUUGUUAUGAAUGUGUAUAUGUACCAUUGGUGGAUAAUUCAUAGAGUUGAAUUAUGGUGAUAUGUGGAAUGUUAAGAUGGUAGAGAUGAUCUUAAUUGCAUAUGUAUUGGUAUUUUGUGAUAAUUGUAGUUAUGUGUAUUUUUGGGAAUAUAAUAUUGGAUUUGAAUAUUAUACUCCUUGAGUUUUUAUGUGUGCUUGAAACAUGUGAAAUAAAUGUUGGUUAGUAUUAUUUACAUGGUUAUACGAAGUGGGAUGAAUUCCUUUAAUUGUUGAUUUAAUCAUUGUGCCUGAUUAUACUUCUUCAUAAUGAUUUGAAUUCUCACCCUUUUUGUUUGAAUGUUGCCUUUACAUGGGCAUCGCGCAGAUACUCAGGAGUAGUAUUGCUGAAGUAAGUGGAAGGUAGCUCAUUCGAGAUUUAGCCGGAGAGCUUCCGUAUUCUAGUUUGGAGACUAGGUAGUGAGCCAAUGCUCUGGUCAUGUAACACGGGGUAGAUUAGUAGUAUUGAACUCAUAUCUGAUUUGGAUACGUAUUAUGUUACUACUUGUGAACAUGUUUAUUUGCAAUUGCUGUUUGAGAGGCCGUAGUGCCAAAUAUUCUGGAUAUGGUCUUCUUUUAUCUUGAAGAGAUUAUUGAGAGAUGAUCAUGGUAUGGGACAUGGAUCAUUUUAUGAAUUGAACAUGUUUAUUUGCAAUUGCUGUUUGAGAGGCCGUAGUGCCAAAUAUUCUGGAUAUGGUCUUCUUUUAUCUUGAAGAGAUUAUUGAGAGAUGAUCAUGGUAUGGGACAUGGAUCAUUUUAUGAACUGCAUGAGUAUUCAUUAUUUUCUGCUGCAAACGCAUAUUCUUGAAUAUUCAUGAUAAUUGAAAUAUGUUAUUUUAAAUGACCAGGUGUAUUGUGUAUUGAUGAUGAAUGAUGUUGGUUUUGAAAGCUUUUAGUUUUUGAAAACGUCGAUGUGACGCCCUUUUGUUUAUAUGCGUGCUUAUUUACUCUGAUUAUAUGUUGAGUAUUUUGGGAUAGAAAAAGGGGUGUUACACUUCAUGGCUGAAAAUGAUCUAUGAUGUCUCAAUGAAUUUCAUGAUCUUCCAAGCAUAUUUUGACCUUGGUCCUUGAAGAAAACUUAUAAAGGGCAUCACAAAUGACAUUAUGCAAAAAUAAUCAGCCUCAAGUGUUAAAAAUUGAAAAAGUUAUGAUCUUUUAAAGUUGGGAAAAAGUCACUUGAAAAAGGUCAAAUUUCACUAAGUCCACAAAUGACCUAUAAUGUCUCUAAACUUUUGAUGAUCCUCCAAGCAAAAUUGGCUCUUGUCAUGUAAAGAGAAGUUGUAGAGGAUAUUGAGAAGAUUUAUAUGCAAAAAGAACCAUUCAAAAAUGUUGAGAAUUGAAGGAGUUGUUAUCUUUGUUAGUUGACUUUAAAAUAUUGACUUUUUGGUCAAACGACUUAGAACAAGUUUGUGUACUUGGACUUUCCUUGCAUUUCAAAGCACAUGGGUGAUCAUAUGAACUCAAAAUAAGGUUUCCUUGAUUUCUUCUUGAUUAAAUUUCUCAAAGCUUGAAGUUUCUUGUUGAAGAAGGCAUGGAAUUAAACACAUGAGCCUUUGACUUUCUUUGAGAAAUAAACCCUUACCUUGCAUAAUAAACUAAGGGAAACAAAUCAUAUUUUCUAUUUUGAGUAGUGGUUAGAUAAGCAAUUAAUCAUAUAAACACAAACGUAAAACACCAACAAAGAGGUGCUUGGUGAUCCCUGCAAGAAGCAAACCCAAAGGUGAGAGCAGAAGGACCAAAAUGUGAUAUUGUUUGUGUGCAAUGAUGCAAAUGAUAUGUGGGAUCUUAGGGUUAAAAUUAGGGUAUGACAUUAUCGUCUAACAGUAUCUUACAAAUAAAAAAACAUAUUAUCUUGGCUCAGUCCACGAUGGAGUCUAAAAUAACAGCAUUAGUGACUUUUAUUUAAGAAGAAAAUUUGGUAAGAUGCUUGCUAGUUGGGAUCCCUUUAUGGAAAAAAACACAUGACAGUUGUGUUGAUACACUAUGAUAGUAUCACAAUUAUUUAAAAAAUUGAGAACCGUUAUUAUAAUGGUAAGAGGCGUCAAAUAAUAAGGAAGCAUAACACUAUUAGAGAUUGUAUCUCUAAAUAAGUUUAAAGAGUGGAUCAUGUAUGAUUGUAUCUCUCAAAUGUUCAAUUCGUAAACACCUAUAUUUAUGUACAAUCUUAGAAACAUUUAACGUUACUUCUGAAACAUUUUUUGUAAAUUCAUAUGUGGGAUUUUUGAAACAUAUCAAUAUUCUAAUAUGGAGAUAAAUUUGAAAAUUUUCCUGAAGUCCCACAUUGUUAAAAAGUUAACAAACUAGUUGGGAAGAAGAAACAGGCUCAUAAGAAGAAAAAACCUGCUGAGCAGAAGAAACGGGAUGAAGAGAAGAAAUAGGCUAAGAAGAAAAAACAAGUUCAAGCACCUAAGAGGAAUAGUGAUAGGUUGAAAAGUGUUUGGAGGUCUAAAAACAAUGUUGGGCAUGAGUCAACUUUUGGUGCACCAUUGCAAAUUAAUGAAGAAAAUGAAUACCCCAAAACUAGUACUUGUGUGUAGAAAAUGAAGACGCGGGAUGAAAUUUCAAGGAAAAUGACUCGUUAGUGAUUAUUAUGAUAUAGUUUGUAAUGCUUAAGAACAUAUUUUUAUGCACAUUAUGCGCUCAUUUUGGAACUUUUGAUAUGCACAAUAUGUGCUCAUUUUAUAAUCUUUUGUAAUGCUCAAUAUAUGAUCAAUUUAGAUUAACAUGUAAUGGAAUUUAUGUUAUGUUAUGAUAUCAUGGAUGUGUCUUUAAUGUCAUCAAUUUUGUAUGUUUAAUGUCAUCAAUUUUGUAUGUUUACUGUGAUUAAAAGUUAUGUCCAAACUAUGUAACAAACUUAAUGCAACAAAAUAAAUUAGGUCAUUGCAACAAAAGUGAUGUCCACACUUACUGCAACAAAAUAAACCAUUUUUUAAAACCAGAAUCACUUCAACUUCAUUCUUUCAAAAUACAUUACAUUAAACUUCAACGUUGUUGCACACCAAAUUUGUUACAUCAUUUUUUAUUACAUGCUCCCAAAAAAAUUAAGAAAAAAAUCCAAGAACAAAUUACAAAUAUUGUUACAAUGUCCAUCUUCUUCCUUAAGCUCUCAAGAUUUUUCUUCAACUCUUCCAAUUCUUUUGAACAUAGUUGAGACUUAAACUCUUUGCUAACCUCUUUCCCAAAUUCCUUCCCGAAAUUCCUCAACAGGUGUAUCAUUUCCCCUUUCAUUUUGACUUGUUUCUCUUGCUCUUUGACCAAAAAUUUCAUCAUCCUAAUGGAAUACAUCAAUGUCUUCUUCUUUUUCCCAAUACUUGCACUUCCAAUAUUUUCUUUAUGGGUUUGUAGUUGACUUGGAAACAAACAUCUUCAUAAUAACAUUAUGGUAGCACGAAGGAGUUAUUCCAUUUGAAGACAUGUUUGACUUUGAACUUUCUAAUUUUUCCAUUCUUAAUGGUUGAAUAGAUAUGAUGGUUUAAAUUUGGAAAUGAGAAAGAAUGAAGGAGAAGAUGAGAGCAAUGAAGGAAAAUAGAUAUAAGGUUUCUGAUUUCCCUUUCUCAAUUUCAAGUGUUAUGUUAGAGAUGAAUUUGGGGUAUUUGGUAAGUUUCCAUACAUCUUUACACACGUGGAAAUGUUUAAAAAUGAAUUUGGGGUAUUUGGUAAGUUUCCAUACAUCUUUACACACGUGUGUCAUACCCCAAUUUUGUCCGGGCAUAUUUAAAUUUUCACAGAAUUGAUUUCAUUUUUAUUUUUGCAUCAUAUGCAUAGCAUGACAUACAUCCCAUCAUGAAUAAUACCUAAAAUAUCAGUCAGAAUAAAUUUAUUGAGAAUACAGACAAAUUGGUUAAAUUGUUUCUCAAGAACAUGCAAAAGUCAGCGGGUAAAAGUUUCAAAAUUAAAAUCACAGACACCAGUAUUAUUAACCUACAGUUCACGUAGUUUAACCUGGUGUGCUCGUUGUAUUUUUCAGCGGCUGUUUCGGUUGCGUUUUGACCCGCCUGAGCUUGUUAACCGAUGCAAAUUUAUUUCAAAGUUUGAAGAAACGCUGUAUUUUUUCAAUAAGUAUAUUUUGGGCGGAUCAUCUUGGUGCAUCCAAUUUAAUUUUCCGAACAAAUUUUUAAUCAAUUCCAAAUUAUAAUCGAUCAUUUUAUUUCUUUAUUUAGAGAUUCAAAUUAAGUAAUCAGAUAUUUUAUUUGAUUAUUUAAUUUACAAUAUAGAUUAGAAAUUCUAGAUGAGUAUUUUUUUUAGUAAACCAAUAAUAAUAAUUGCUAUUGUUUAUAAAAAUAUUUUUUUGCUAAACCAAUAAUAAUAAUUGUUAUUAUUUAUAAAAAAGAAGAGUAAAUUUGCACAUUGGAUUCUGGAAAAGAUUACCGUUGGAUUCUCUCUGGUUGUCACCAGCUCACAGGCCAGUGAUUUCCUCUCACAUAGACACGCGUCUUCCUCACCUCACGCUCCACUCAACAUUUCUCUCCACUAUCUCUUCCACUCUCCACUCAGUACAUACUCACCCACUCAUUACUCACAAAAAUCUCUCUUGACUCUCUCAUCAAAACCUCACUCAUUAUCCUCUCGCCACGAAGAAAAAAAACUCCUUCUCCACCAUCCAAAACCCUACUUUCACUACCACCAUGACCUUCAUCUUCUUCACCUAAAUCCGUCGUCAACACCCAAAACGGCUUCAUCACAAACUCAUCACCGGCGAAUCCACCAUACGCCACCGCACUACACAUCAAUCACUUUCAACCAAGCCCAAACCCCAAAUCGCCAUCAUCUUCCGACCACACCUUACCAUAAACCUUUCGACCUUCAACCUUUUCACAACCCAACUCGCGCCGACCACCACCAACCCUCACGUCACGGUCACGCUCCACCUUCACUCAACAACAACUCCCAACUCACAGCCGCCGAAGCCUACCCCAAUAACCAUAUCAUUACUCACUUCCGAUUUCCUUUCUCUCUUCGAACACAAACCCACGUUUUCACUUCAUCAAACUCCAAACCCUCGUUGUUCCACCUUCAACAACCUCACGGAAACCACUUAGAAAUCAUACCUUCAAAUCUAAAACCUAAGUUGGGCCUAGAUUUCGGAAACCAACAUGGAAAUGUUUCACUGAAAUGGGCAGCGAGGCCGGCGAUUCCCAAAGAGAAUUUCUUGGCCCCGGUUCGUGAUUCGGACCAAAUCUGUAUUUAAGAAGUGGAUUCCAUUUAUGGGUCAUUAGAGAAGCUUUGUGAAAUAAAGGCUUAAUCCUUGUUCUAAGGCAGCUAAGAAGGAUAAGAGGAGGAAGGUUGUUGCUAUUCCUUUUGAUUCGCGACAACACCGCUGCUUUGGGUUCAAACCACCGCAUAACACAACACGCCGCGUUGGAGUUCCAUCUCUCAGCAAAGUGGAUUUCAACAGGUUUCUUCCAACAAACUCAGAGCAGCAAACAGAACACGACAAUUUGAUCAUUUUGGUAAUAUUUCGGUUAGGGCGUCGGAUUUAAGUUUAUGCUGUUUCUAUUGAGUUUACAUUCAAUUUUUAGAUAGCGAUAUACUUUAAAUUUGAUGCGUUUACCUUCUUUACGUCUACAGUCUUCGUGUUUUAAAAUUAAUUGAAAUAUGGUGACUCAUGGAUGUUUUGAUAGGGUUUCCAGUUUGGUUUGUUUGUUUUGUUUAAAUUGAUGUUACGAAUGAGUUAGUUUAUGGACUGAGAACCUGUAGAUAAUGAAUAAUUUUGAUCUUGUUUUGAUUUUAGCAUUUGUUUCUUUCUUGUGAGUGCUGUAUUAAAAUGUGAUUAUAGCUUACAACUUAAAGCUUGUUUAGCCAUUAUAAUGUGUUCUAUUGACUGUUGGAUGUAUUGGUUUUAUGGGAAGCCUUUUGUUAAGUUAAAGUUUAUUUCCCAUUAGUGUGUUGUCAAUAGAAAUGAAAAUGGAUAUUGGCUGAAACGCUGAACAAUUCGUUUCCUUAUUCUGUACUAGCUGGAUUUAUUUUGCAUUAGGUGGACUGUUGAGGUCUCUUUGGACAUGAUGUAUUUCUGUUCUGUUCUAAUAAAAAGUCAUGGUAGAUAGGCAAUAAUUGUUUGGAUUUCAUUAGGAUAAAUAAUUGAAUUAAAAACUGCGGAUUCGACAAGUUCAUGUCGCUAGGCCGCCCAAUUUCUCAAUAUAUCAAUGGAACACCUUCACCGAGUUUUGAAUUUGCGUGAGACAUUAAUCAUAUUAUCCUUAUGCUCAAACCGGUUCCGAGCACAUUUUCCUCAACACAUACUGACUAAAUCAAUAUUAAUGUCCAUUUUUCUUCUCUUUUGAUUAAUUAGUUUAAUUUCAAUUAAUCAAUUUGAAUUAACUUAAUUAUUUGAUCUAAUUAAAUAAUUUUGAUAAUUAAACUUAAUUAAUUCAAUUAAUUGAUUUAAUCAAAUUUUUCAUAAGUUAAUUGAUUAAUUUUUCCCAAUCUCACAACUUCACAUUAUUUCAAACAAAAACUAUUUCCUAUCAUCAUCAUUUCAUAAUCACUUUCAAUUUUAUUCCCAUUCACCAUCGAUCCAAACCAAUUUCGAAAAGCACAAAUCAUACAAUUCUCGAUUUAACAUCGAGCCCAUUUUUAAACACCUUUGUAAGUCGAUUGCUCUUAGCAUCGCCAUCAACCUCACAUAGCUUACUCUUGGGCUUCCUUACAAUGAGACCUACUUGGUUAUUGAUUAAUCGAGUAGAUGAAUAAUACACUAAAUAAAAUUUAUUUCAUAAACACGAAUUCAAACCACUUUUCAAACCAUUCAAUUUCAAAAGAAUUUUCCCUUUUAAACAUAAUUUUUUGGAUGAAAAAGAUAUUCCCUCGCAUGCGAAGUGAUAAAAGAGUUCGUGAACUUAUUAACCGCUACGCCAUAUUGCACGAGUUCUUGUCAUCCGAUUAAACCUUAAUCACACAAUUUCAAAUCACUUUUAAAAUCAAAUAUAAAUUCUAAAAUUCAAAUUAUUUUCGAACCACAAUAUUUCAAAUCAUCUCUACAAAUUCCAAAUCCUUGUAAUUCCAUAUUCCAGAUGAAAAAAGGAUAAGGGGCGUACGCCUCACUAUCUUUCGAUUAUUCGAAUAAUUGGCGUACGCCACAUUGCUCGAAUCUUCGUCAUCAAAUUAAAACACAAUCGAAUAAAUUCAAACUAUUUUCGCAAAUCAAAUGUAACAUCCAAACAUAUCUUUUACAAUUUAAACUCCGGAUGAUAAAAGAGGGGAGGCGUACGCCUCACCCUCUCUCGAUUAUUUGAAUAAUUGGCGUACGCCAUAUUGCACAAAUUAUCGACUUCCGACUAAAACACGCUAAAUAAACUUAGAUAAGGGAAUAGGUGGCGCACGCCUCAUUAUUCCUUGAAUAAGCAAGUAGGAGGCGCACGCCUCACUACCGUGCAUAUUCAACAUCCACAAACACAACUUUCAAAAUAAUUCGAACGAAAAAGGAAUAGAAGGCGAUCGCCUUAUUAUUCCUCGAAAGAAUUGAACGAUUGGUGUACACCACAUUGCUCAAUCUUUCUUCGUUCUCCAAAAACAUCUCCAACAUUAAACCUAACUUCUCGCCCCCGCGCGAUCGAAACCAAACCAAAACACCCAAACACAUCAAAUCAACUUGUCAUCCCUGCGUGACCAAAACCCUUUCAAAAGAACACUGUCAAUCCUUUCUAAUGCGCACAACAAACCAGUGCUAGAGCCUCCACCGAGAGUAGACAAGCCAGCGUUUAGCCGUUAGAACGCCGACCUACACAGUUUCAAUCCUUUCUAAUGCGCACAACAAACCAGUGCUAGAGCCUCCACCGAGAGUAGACAAGCCAGCGUUUAGCCGUUAGAACGCCGACCUACACAGUCGUUCAUCAAAACAAAACCCACCAAAUAUUCAUAGUAGCCCGAACUACGAAUGCUCUGAUUUCCUUAUUACACCAUAAGGAUACGUAGGCAGGAGAUUGUUGUAUCUUCGCGAGCACACUAAUCAAAAACCUCCCUUUUCCCAUUCUGAGGUCUUCAUCCAUCUCUAUUAUCAACUCUAAUUACUCGAAGCAAGCAAAUAACAGUCAACUAAUAGUUAAAUAGCAAAUCAGACUAAAAGGUUCCCGUUGAGUACAACGGACGUGAGGGGUGCUAAUACCUUCCCCUUGCGUAAUCGACUCCCGAACCCGAAUAUGGUUUCGACGACCAUUAUUCUAUUUUCUUAAAGGUUUUAUCGAUAUUUUCCUAUUCCUUCAUUGGAAUAAAUAAAGUUCGGUGGCGACUCUGUUCGAACAUAAUUUUUUCCGCGACCAUCGCGAGGAAUCGUAUUUUUCGAGAUGCGACAACGUGGAAAUGUUUAAAAAUGAAAACGCCAGACAUGUCAAUGACACAUCAACUUAUAAACUGCCUGAGUUUAAUGAAGAGGAAAAAGAGAGAAAUCUUAAAAGGUUAUUGAGAGAUCCAAACCUUUUUUUUAGAGAGGCAUUUUUUGAAAAUGGGUCAAAUGGCAAGGGAGAAAAGAGUUAUUAACCCUAAUAAUAAUAAUAAUAAUAAUAAUAUUAAUAAUAAUAAUAAUAAUUUUAGAUUAAACAAAUUAAUAUUUAAGUAAUUUUGUCAAUUAUUAAUAGAUACAAAUAUCAGCGGGUACGGGUACCAUCAAAUCUAUAUUUAUGUCCGUAAGAAAAUAGGUGAUUAAAUAUCCCUUUAUUUUAUUUGUGGAUACGUAUUAAACUAUCCAACUCAUGCGCAUGAUAGGUUUUACCCGUGGGUACCCACGAGUACGAGUUUUUUUGUCAUCCCUGACUACGAGAGAUAUUUAUAUCAUAUUUGACUUAUCUUUGUAUCAUCGGAGAUUAUAUUUCUAGACCGAUUUUUUAGGGAUGGCAAACGGGCAUGUCCGUCCCAUUUAAACUCUCGCCUCACAAAAGUAUGAAAAAAAAAAAGGAGGAUUGGACGGGACAUGCAUAUUUGAAUGUGUGCGCCUAAAACCUUGUUUCGCCCCGCACAAAAAGUGAGGGUCGGGCGGGUUCAUUGGCUUCCCACAUUUUAAACCUAAAAAAAGAGAAAUUUAUGUUAAUAUUUGUGUUUGCAAAAGCUCGCAAAAAAACGGAAUGGAGUGGGGCGUACACAUUGCAUGAUGUAGGCCUAAAGUCUUUAGUCCGUCUCGCAUUAAAGUGUCCAACGGAUCGGACUCGUUUUUUCACCAUUAAUUUUCUUACACUUGUUUUGAAAAAAUGUUAUGAUAAGAGUAAAAAAACAUAAGAGAUUAAACCAUGAACAUUAUGUUUGAUUCCAUGAAUAAUAUAUAACAAUCAGUGGGUAUCCUUGUUUAAGACUCUUUACUCGUUUGGCAGUUGUUCACUUGACAUGCACUAGAAGGGCACUAGACUUCCAAGGUUGACUGACUUUGCCACUUGCUUGUCUUUAUUUUUAUAUAUGCACUAACUUCAUUACAAGGUUAGUUUCCAUCGUAUAUAUGUGUACUUACUACUGACAGGAAACAAUUUAAAAAAUCAGUAACCAACGGUUUAGAAAAGAAUCCAGUGGAUUCCCAUUUUGACCGAUGAACAAAAAAAUGCAAUAAUUAAACAAGAAGCACAAAACUACACAUGGUUUCUAUACCAUGUUAGUUGUUAAAGAAUAAAUGCUCCUAAAACUGUUUACCAUUUACGAAUGGCUAUAUAUAUAUAGUAGUAAUUUUCCAACUCUUCUCAUCAACCAACUAGCAUUUGCAAAUACUUUCUUUGUCCACACAAACAAAACAACCUUCCAUUUUACAAAGUAAAAGAGAAAGAUGAGUGUAGAAAUUUUAGAUGGUGCCACCAUUGUCCAGUUACUUGAAGAUGAAGAAGCAUUUAAUGACACUGUAGGUAACCGAUUCGCUCGCCUUGACACAGACAAUGAUCUCUUAUGACGAGAUGUUAAAGGAGCUCCAGGGUCUAAGAGUUUUCGAAACACACCUUCGGUAUUGAUGUGGAGUCUGAUCCAGAUGAGGCUUGCCCGUGUUUAUGCAUCGUUGUUCAUACAAUUCGACCACAAUUUAAAUGGCACGUUGAUCUGGAAGAAUUCAAGACAGAAACAAAGCAGAUGAUGCUUGCAAUGGCAGAUGGAAUGGGUUUCAUGCCAAUUCAAAUGGUUUUGGAAGAAGACAGCAUCCUUAAGAAAGCAGUUGAAAGAGAGUACAAUAAAGUCGCAGCUUAAUUGCUGCUAUGAUAUCAUACCUAAGAUUUAACAAAUUCUGCAAGUAUUGUAGUAUUGUAUAACAUUCUGUUUGUUGUUCUUAUUGUUACCUUUGAAACUUGUUAACACUGUUUUGUUAUGGAUUCCAAAUGUAUUCAAGAAAUAAACUACUUUAAUCUGAGUAUUUAAUAAGUAUGUUUGAAGUUAUGAAGAAUUCGACAUAGAGCGCAAA
rnacentral:lncRNA from 1 species